AUUGAACGCUGGCGGCAGGCCUAACACAUGCAAGUCGAACGAGUGGCGGACGGGUGAGUAAUGUCUGGGAAACUGCCUGAUGGAGGGGGAUAACUACUGGAAACGGUAGCUAAUACCGCAUACCAUCGGAUGUGCCCAGAUGGGAUUAGCUAGUAGGGGGGGUAAAGGCUCACCUAGGCGGCGAUCCCUAGCUGGUCUGAGAGGAUGACCAGCCACACUGGAACGGGGACACGUUCCAGACUCCGACGGUAGGCAGCAGUGUGGAAUAUUGUACAACGGGCGCAAGCCUGAUGCAGCAAUGCCGAGUGUAUGAAUAAGGCCUUCGGGUUGUAAAGUACUUGCAGCGGUGAGGCGUUACCCGCAGAAGAAGCACCGGCUAACUCCGUGCCAGCAGCCGCGGUAAUUC
rnacentral:rRNA from 1 species